rnacentral:rRNA from 1 species
AGAGUUUGAUCAUGGCUCAGAUUGAACGCUGGCGGCAGGCCUAACACAUGCAAGUCGAGCGGUAGCACAGAGAGCUUGCUCUCGGGUGACGAGCGGCGGACGGGUGAGUAAUGUCUGGGAAACUGCCUGAUGGAGGGGGAUAACUACUGGAAACGGUAGCUAAUACCGCAUAACGUCGCAAGACCAAAGUGGGGGACCUUCGGGCCUCAUGCCAUCAGAUGUGCCCAGAUGGGAUUAGCUAGUAGGUGGGGUAACGGCUCACCUAGGCGACGAUCCCUAGCUGGUCUGAGAGGAUGACCAGCCACACUGGAACUGAGACACGGUCCAGACUCCUACGGGAGGCAGCAGUGGGGAAUAUUGCACAAUGGGCGCAAGCCUGAUGCAGCCAUGCCGCGUGUGUGAAGAAGGCCUUCGGGUUGUAAAGCACUUUCAGCGGGGAGGAAGGCGNNNNNNNNNNNNNNNNNCGAUUGACGUUACCCGCAGAAGAAGCACCGGCUAACUCCGUGCCAGCAGCCGCGGUAAUACGGAGGGUGCAAGCGUUAAUCGGAAUUACUGGGCGUAAAGCGCACGCAGGCGGUCUGUCAAGUCGGAUGUGAAAUCCCCGGGCUCAACCUGGGAACUGCAUUCGAAACUGGCAGGCUAGAGUCUUGUAGAGGGGGGUAGAAUUCCAGGUGUAGCGGUGAAAUGCGUAGAGAUCUGGAGGAAUACCGGUGGCGAAGGCGGCCCCCUGGACAAAGACUGACGCUCAGGUGCGAAAGCGUGGGGAGCAAACAGGAUUAGAUACCCUGGUAGUCCACGCCGUAAACGAUGUCGAUUUGGAGGUUGUGCCCUUGAGGCGUGGCUUCCGGAGCUAACGCGUUAAAUCGACCGCCUGGGGAGUACGGCCGCAAGGUUAAAACUCAAAUGAAUUGACGGGGGCCCGCACAAGCGGUGGAGCAUGUGGUUUAAUUCGAUGCAACGCGAAGAACCUUACCUGGUCUUGACAUCCACAGAACUUNUUGGUGCCUUCGGGAACUGUGAGACAGGUGCUGCAUGGCUGUCGUCAGCUCGUGUUGUGAAAUGUUGGGUUAAGUCCCGCAACGAGCGCAACCCUUAUCCUUUGUUGCCAGCGGUUAGGCCGGGAACUCAAAGGAGACUGCCAGUGAUAAACUGGAGGAAGGUGGGGAUGACGUCAAGUCAUCAUGGCCCUUACGACCAGGGCUACACACGUGCUACAAUGGCAUAUACAAAGAGAAGCGACCUCGCGAGAGCAAGCGGACCUCAUAAAGUAUGUCGUAGUCCGGAUUGGAGUCUGCAACUCGACUCCAUGAAGUCGGAAUCGCUAGUAAUCGUAGAUCAGAAUGCUACGGUGAAUACGUUCCCGGGCCUUGUACACACCGCCCGUCACACCAUGGGAGUGGGUUGCAAAAGAAGUAGGUAGCUUAACCUUCGGGAGGGCGCUUACCACUUUGUGAUUCAUGACUGGGGUGAAGUCGUAACAAGGUAACCGUAGGGGAACCUGCGGUUGGAUCACCU